GUCAACGUGAAGUAGCUUCGGCGUUCGGAGACGCGUCGGUUGCGUUUUGGCGUUUGAAAUUGGCGCUGAGAAGCAACCCCCGCGAAUAUAUCGCAAUCUCGCGGGGCGUGAGCGGCGGUUGGGGUCGACGUUGUCGACGAUGGAGAGGGUCGGAAAAAAGGCUGAGAGAAUGCGGAAGGAAUAAAAACGACCAAGGAAGAAGAAACACAGAUGGCAACUCGAUGGGGGUGGUAGUCGUGGCCGUGGUUAACGAUAAGUUUCAGUCAGAAGAUAACAUUCGGAGGGAUGAGACUAUCAUGCGUGCACCUGUCAAGAUUACUUUUGCCAACUGUGAUAAAUAAUAAAUAAUACUAGACAAAAAUUGAAUAUACCAAAAAUCGUGAUCAGAUAGCGAGAUUACUCAGAGUCAGUCAUGUAUUACUACGUUAUUUAUUUCACCAACAAAUAUUUUAUCAUUUAAAGAAGAGAACGGAGAAUACUGACGAAAGUAUACAUUUUCAACGUUUUCAUUGAAAACGCUUUGUUGAAAUAGGAGAAUAUAUAGACACAGAUUGAAAUCAUUAAUAAAUGUUGCGUAAGAAAACUUGAUAAUGGAGCUCAACAAUGUUGGGAGCAACAAAAGCUCCGUUUAUUUGGCGGUACGAUUCAGAAAAUUAUGCUUGGCUACCGUGUCGCUACCUCUGAUUGCUCUACUGGUCUGUUUCAUAACAGCAUACAUAUUUCAGCAGGACGAUAUUCAUGAAACGCAUUGCAGAGUGUAUAACAUAAUACCAUCAAUUUCGGCAAUAACAGGUGUAUCGCCUCAAAGAUAUUUAUGGCGGAUAAGCAUCGCUCUGCACAUAGGUCCCAGAAUAGUUAUCGCUAGCGUCUAUCGUUCCUAUUACCAUAGAAUUCUUAAGGCCGUCAAUGAUCUACCUAGAAAGAUUUUGGGAUUCAGGCUUCUGAAUCUUUGCUACUGGCUAAACCUUGCUGAGGUAGCAGCUCUAUGCGGAGUUACUUACAUUUCGAACAGAGAAAAUUAUCCCGUUCACGAGAAGAUCUUCAUAGUCUUCAUGUUCAGCUCACUAGCGUACAUGUUGGCAGCUGUUAGAUUAGGGCGCCUUGUAACGCCGAAUGCACCAAGCCUCCAAUACAAACAGGCCCUUUUCGUAAUCAGCAUCCUUAGCACGGUGGGUCUUGUGAUUUUCUUCCUGAAACAUCGCCUCUUGUGUCACGAUAUGGCAUUCAGCUGGUUUUCCCUGUGCGAGUACGUAAUAGCAUCGGCAAACAUGGGAUUUCACGUUACGGUCAUCCUGGAUUUCCCCAAAGAACAUCUUGUCGUUGGACACGGCCUACCCCCUUUGAAGGUGGAUUAACCCCUCUGGAUUGCAUAAGUCCAUCGAUAUUGUCCCAAAGUGCCUACUGCUUCUACCUGUUAACGCUGCGAGUCUGCCUUUGUUAAGUAACAUCACGUUCACGUGCGACCUUCUUCAAAGCCCUGCAGCGACGAUGAUCGCCGUGGCCUCCGAAAGCUCGACGCACUUGGCGCAAUGCCACACCAACCGCGGGUCAUAAAUGUCAAGGUCAAGGACUGGCGGCUGAUGGCAAAGAGGAUGGUAGACAUCCUGGCAUUCUUGGCACUCCAGGAGAAUCAAAGGACCCAGUCUCGCCCCGUUGCAGAUCUUUAAACGAACGACAAACUUGUCACUGAGUCGAUAAUGCCGAAAAAUCACGAGAGGCGUGAUCAAGUGCAUGGAUACUCAAUUACUUCGUUUUUGGAACCCAAUCACCGUCACUCUUCGUCUGAACUCAUCGCCGUUCCACACAGCGUAACACAAUGUAAAGAAAAUUUAAAUAAAAUAAACAAACAAAAUGGAAAACUUUACGAAGAACGGAACCUUGCAGAGAGCAUCGUCACCGGCACUGGAGCCUUCGUCGGGUAUCGAAAUCGUCGAGAUAACGAAUCCCGCCGCAUCCUGACUGCCAGGCUCUUGUCCAGACCGUGUUUUUUCACUAUCGAGGCGUCCAGCAUCUGGCGCAAUUUGUCCGCCGAAUCCUCGUCCGUCGAAUGGAGAAGAGCAAGCGCUGUGAAGAAGUCUUCCUCAGCUUCCGCUGCAUUCUCCAGGUCAAAGUACAUCGCCUGUGAUUUUUAAAAAGGUUGUACCGGUCAAUACGUUCAAUUUGCGCAAUACGUAUAAUGUACGUGUAAUCAUUCUUACGUAUGUAAUACAGUCGGAUACGACACCGCGGUGUCACCGCGACCAUGCCAUGCGUCAUGUUCGUUACU
rnacentral:misc_RNA from 1 species